rnacentral:rRNA from 1 species
CCGCACGCGCGCUACACUGAUACGUUCAUCGAGCUUACAACCUUGACUGAGAGGUCUGGGUAAUCUUUUGAAAUCGUAUCGUGCUGGGGAUAGAUUAUUGUAAUUAUUAAUCUUCAACGAGGAAUUCCUAGUAAACGCGAUUCAUCAGAUCGCAUUGAUUACGU